rnacentral:rRNA from 1 species
AGUGAACGCUGGCGGUAGGCCUAACACAUGCAAGUCGAACGGCAGCACAGUAAGAGCUUGCUCUUACGGGUGGCGAGUGGCGGACGGGUGAGGAAUACAUCGGAAUCUACUUUUUCGUGGGGGAUAACGUAGGGAAACUUACGCUAAUACCGCAUACGACCUACGGGUGAAAGCAGGGGAUCUUCGGACCUUGCGCGAUUGAAUGAGCCGAUGUCGGAUUAGCUAGUUGGCGGGGUAAAGGCCCACCAAGGUGACGAUCCGUAGCUGGUCUGAGAGGAUGAUCAGCCACACUGGAACUGAGACACGGUCCAGACUCCUACGGGAGGCAGCAGUGGGGAAUAUUGGACAAUGGGCGAAAGCCUGAUCCAGCCAUACCGCGUGGGUGAAGAAGGCCUUCGGGUUGUAAAGCCCUUUUGUUGGGAAAGAAAAGCAGCAGGUUAAUACCCCGCUGUUCUGACGGUACCCAAAGAAUAAGCACCGGCUAACUUCGUG